ensembl:lncRNA LINC00467 long intergenic non-protein coding RNA 467
UCCGCUCCCGCCCCGCUCUGUGGCGUAGGCCGGACAUUUCUAGUCGACUGUUGCGCGUGCGCGCGCUGUGACGUUCCCUACGCGGUCGGGCGUUGGGUUUCGCGGCGCUCGCCGCACUGGUUGUUCAGCACCUUCGGUCCGGUUGAGGUUGUCAAGUCGGACCAAACAGGUUGUUUCUCUGCAGUUUCCAACAUGGCAGGGAGGUUUAAUAGACAUGGAUAAGAAGUCCACUCACAGAAAUCCUGAAGAUGCCAGGGCUGGCAAAUAUGAAGGUAAACACAAACGAAAGAAAAGAAGAAAGCAAAACCAAAACCAGCACCGAUCCCGACAUAGAUCAGUGACGUCUUUUUCUUCAGAUGAUCCUAUGUUUCCUUCUUCCUCAUCAUCGUCUUCAGGAAGCCAGACAGAUUCAAGUAUUGAAGAUGCUGCCAAGGGAAAAAUUAAGAAGAAGAGAAGAGAGAAAACAAAUAAAUGGGAAAAAAGAAAGAGUCUUGUCCUGUUGCUCAGGCUGGAGUGCAAUGAUGCGACCUCGGCUCACUGCAACCUCUGCCUCCCGGAUUCAAGCAAUUCUCCUGCCACAGCCUCCUAAGUAGCUAGGACUACACGCAUGCACCACCACACCUGGCUAAUUUUUGUAUUUUUAGUAGGGACGGGGUUUCACCUGGUUGGCCAGGCUGGUCUCGAACUCCUGACCUCAUGUGAUCCGUCCACUUCAGCGUCCCAAAGUGCUGGGAUUACAGGCAUGAGCCACCGUGCCCUGCCUCUUUUAGUUAUUUUUAAAUGUACAAUAAAUUGUUGUUGACUGUAAUCACCCUGUUGUGCUAUAAAAUACGAAAUCUUAUACAUUCUAGCUAUAUUUUUAUACUCAUUAAUCAUCCUCCUUUCCCCACCUUCAACUACCCUUCUAAGCCUCUGGUAACGAUCGUUCUGGUAUCACCAUGAGUUUAUUUGUUUUCAUUUUUAGCUCCCACAAAUAGGUGACAACAUGUGAAUUUUGUCUUUCUGUGCCUGGCUUUUGUCACUUAACAAUGACCUCCAUUUCCAUCCCUUGUUGCAAGUGACAGCAUCUCAUUUUUUUUUUUUUUUUGGCUGAAUAGUGCUCCGUUGUGUAUUUGUACCACAUUCAUCUGUUGAUGGACGUUUAGAUUGCUUCCAGAUCUUGGCUAUUGUUGCUGAAUUCUUUUUCUCAGCAUGGAACGUCCCUGAGAAAGAGAAUGCACGCCUAGGGGUAGGUCUCUGAACUGGCCCCCCCGGGGCGUACCUGUCUCUUAUGGUUGAGACUGCAGGGACGAAAUAAACUCCAGUCUCCCAUAGCGCUCCCAGGCUUAUUAGGAAGAGGAAAUUCCCACCUAAUAAAUUUUGGUCACACCGGUUGAUCUCAAAACCCUGUCUCCUGAUAAGAUGUUAUCAAUGACAGUGGUGCCCAAAACUUCAUUAGCAAUUUUAAUUUCGCCUCGGUCCUGUGGUCCUGUGAUCUCGCCCUGCCUCCACUUGCCUUGUGAUAUUCUAUUACCCUGUUAAGUACUUGAUGUCUGUCACCCACACCUAUUCGUAUACUCCCUCCCCUUUUGAAACUCCCUAAUAAAAACUUGCUGGUUAUUGUGGCUUGUGGGGCAUCAUGGAUCCUAACAACGUGUGAUGUCUCCCCCGGACGCCCAGCUUUAAAAUUUC